CCAUCCUCUUCUCCAGGAGAUCUUUCCAACCCAGGGAUGGAACCCAGGUCUCCUGCAUUGCAGGCAGCUUCUUUCCUCUCUGAGCCAUCAGGGAAGCCCGUUUAUCUAAUAUGCUAUUGAACCCCUUUAGUGUUUUCAGUUCAGCUGUAACUUCUGUUUGGUGCUUUGUUACAUUUUCUGUUUAUUUUUUGAAGUUCUCAUUGUGUUCAUCUGAGUUUAGUGAACAUUUUUAUGACCAUUACUUUGAAUCUUUUAUCAGAUAGACAGCUCGUGUUGGUUUUAUUUAGUUCUUCUUCUGGGAUUUUGUCCUGUUCUUUCCUUGGGAACAUAUUCCUUUGUCUCCUCACUUGGCCUAGUUUUCUCUCCCUCUCCCCCCAUCCCAAGUUUAUAUAUAUAUUUAUAUAUAAAGUAAAUCAGUUUUAUCUCCCAGGCAUGAAAGAAUGACCUUAUUUAGAUGUCCUGUGGGUCUCGGACGCGCAGUCUCUCUUUGGCACCAGAGCCAGGCACUGAAGAAGUGUUCCCUGUGUCCGCUGCAUGCACCCUCCUGUGGCGGUGGGGCCACGUCUGUGGCCACAGCACGCUGGUAGGCAGGACUGCCGCUUGCCUGGCUGUGAGGCUCAGCUCAAGCCCAAGGUUGAGCGGGAUCUCAGUGGGUAUGCCUACUGGCGCUGACAAGUUAGGAGGAAAAUCCCAAAAUGGCACCUACCAGUACUGGCGUUAGCGAGGAAGCCUGGGACUACAAAAAUGUCUCCCACUAGGGUCUCAGUCCCUGGGGAGCAUCCCAACUCAUUCCUUGCUUUCCAGUAGAUGCUUCAAGAUUAGUAAAUGGAUCCCUUCCACAUACAGUCCAUCUGCCUUUCAAUCUGAUAUUUUUGUGCUUCUUUUCAGGUCAAGUUCAGUUGGAGCAUGAGACUUUUUUUUUUUUUUUUUGAGCAUGAGACUUUUAAGGGUGACUUUUGCAUUCUCUCCAUGUUUUUUUGUUGUUGUUUUUUUUUAGUUUUCCUGGCUAUAUUCUUCAUUGGUUUUCAAAAACACUAAUUUUAGAGUCUUGUCUUUCCUAUUUAGGACCUAGAGAUCAAAGUGCCUGAUGUGGAGUUCAAAUUCCUUGCUCUUCAUGGAAAAGAUCUAUUCUCUUGUGAUCUCUCCCAAUUGUGGAUCACUGUGGCUGGGGUGUGGUUUGUUUCCUUGGCAAGAUAUGAGACAAGAUCAUAUCUCUGCCUUUCUUAUCUAAAUGCUCAAUGCUGUCCUUUUACCUUUUGUUGUGGGGCUCUGUUCAUCUGGCGUUCAGGUGCCUUUUCAAGAGAAUUAUUCCAUAAUUGCAAAUCUGUUGUGUCCAUUGGAGGAGGCGGAUUCUUUACCGGCUGAGCCACCAAAGAAGCCACUAAGUAGAAGGUACUCAAAGGAAAAUGUGAAGGAGGGUCAUUUACACAGGAGAAUAAAAAGAAUCUUCCUGACCCAGAGACCAAACCCAGGUCUCUUGCACUGCAACCGGAUUCUUUAUCUUUUGAGCCACCAGGAAGCCCAAUAUUUAGAACUGUAUCUUGAAGCACAAGUAAGUUACUCGGAGAAAACAAGGGGAAACGUGAAAUGGUAAAAUAAAUAAAAAUAGAGAGGGUAUUUUGAAACCACAAGUAUUUUGUGUGAUUGGAGUCCUGGUACAUGAAAAAGUGGGAUUCAGUUUCAUAAACUAUUUUAUUUUCCACACAACUAAGACACAUUUUAUCCUCCUACUUUUCUAGAAUGUAAAUGUAAUUAAUUUUUCAGGUAAGAUUUCUUGUAAGUAAUUGAUACCUACUCUGGAUUAUUUGUAUCUUUUUUUUGGAACCCAGAACUCAUGUAACUUAGACCACUUGUUAUUGUCCCAUGUCAUUGAAGCUAACUGAUUUUAAAGUCACUGUUUUGGUUUUGGUUUUUGCAAACUCCAAAGUGUUCUUAACCCACUCAUGGUUUUUUUCAUUUCAGAUAUCCUAUAUUUUCAUUUCCAGAAUGCCAUUCUUUUUUUUUUUUUUUGGUAGAUACCAUAUUUUUACUAGUAUUUCUCAACUUUCCACAGAGUAUGUCCCUUUUUCCUUAAGCCUUAACCAUAUUUUUAAUAUAUGUUUUAAACUCUAUGUGUGUUUCAACAUCGCUGUCAUCAUAAUGUCCGUUUUUGUAUUCAGUCAAAUACUUAUGUAGUACUUUUGGAAAUUCUUCUCUUUAAAGAUUUCUUCUUUCUACCCCACAAAUUCCAACUGCUCAGAAACUCAGAAAUACAAUCUCUGUUCCAUAAGACCUCUGUGUUUUCCUGGGCUCCACUAUUGUAUAUCAUAGUCUAAAAACUACUGCUAGACAGAAAUUAUAUCUGCAUAGCCUGUGUGUUUCUCUUCUUCAGAGAACAAAGUGCUAAGUUCUCUGUUUCACAAUGUCUAUAAAUCUUUGCUUAAUAUAUAUGUCCAGUUUAUAAUUUACGGUGGGGGUCUAGGCCUGUACUAUUACUGUAUUAGUUGGGAGUCAAAGCUCAGUGAUUGUGAUUUUAGUUUUAAUGGAUGCUAUCUUUAAUUUAGUCCAAAGUAAAGCAACUCAUAUUCCCAUCAGCAAUGUAUGAAAGUAUUUAUGUUUCUAAAAAUUUUCUAGUCACAAAGAUAAUUUGUCCUUUUAAUUUUUACAAGAUCAAUAUGCUAAAAUGUUACUUUAUUCUAGUUAUAUUUCCCUAACAACUGAAAUAUCUUUUUUUGGUUACCCUUUAACAAUACUCUGUUAUUACUGUGUAUACACU